rnacentral:lncRNA from 1 species
UACUAAUUUUAACAUCAUAAAAACGUAAUUUUGUUUAUUAAAAACAAAUAAUAACAAUAAUGGUACAACAAGUUUCUAAACUCAAAAAUAAAACAAAUAACAAUAAUAAAUUCUUAGUAAUACUACAAAUUAAAACUAACAAUACUAAAAACACUGAAAUAUAUAUAUAUAUAUAUAUAUAUAUAUAUAUAACUAGGCAUAAGCCCUACACUCCUCUUUCCCAAGCGAAGUUGCCUUGCCACAACCAUUUUGAAUAUAAUCUGCAUACAAAUAUAAGCACACCACAAAACCCAAAUAUGAUGUUAGUAGUUAGUACAUCUAAAAUCAUGUAAAAAGAAUACUGCAGUAUAUGGCAUAAGUAGAUGAACAAACACACAUGAAUCAAUAGGUAAAACAUCACAACAAUCAUGACAACAUAUAGUACAUGCAUGGAUUAUAUUAGGAAUAACAAUUUAAUGCUCAAUAUGCAAUGAAAAAUCAUGUGGUGUGUGAAUCUAAUAACUCAAAAAAAUAUGGAAUAAGAGAUUAAUCUCAUUUAAAUGAUACUAUUAGGUGACCUAUAUUCGAGGAAGUUUGUACAAAGAAAUUCUCAAGAUUACACACCCUAAGUGACAUAUUUGAUCAAUCAAUAUCCUAUCUUGAGAGCUAAAUUCAAAUAUAAGUUUCUUAGACGAUAUAUCAAGCAUGCAUGGCUUUAAAUUGCAACCAGCAGUUGUAGUAUAGUUGAUGCGAUAGUCACCAGAAUCGCAUCGCACUGCAUUGCAGUGUGAUUUUCGACUACGUGUAUGACUGCAUCGUAACUCCAUCAAGAACCGCAUCAGAUAAGUUAGACCAUAUUCAUUCAAACCUUCUCACCAAAAACUAAUUUUUAUGAACCCCAAAUCUCAAUUUACGUUAGAAUAUAUAUGCAAUGAAUAAUCUUAUCCUUAGUACGUAGUCUCUUAAUGUAUUUCAAAUUCAAGCAUCUAUCAAUAAAGGGGCGUCUUCGUGGUGGAGUGAUGUUUCUUUAUUUGGGAUCCAGGUAAAAUCUCAGUCGGAUUGGUUCUCUGAAGGGGUGUUUACGCAGAUUGGUAAUGGGAUUUUGACAUCUUUUUUGUUUGAUCUGAGUCAAAAGUGUACCGAUUAGGAUUUGAUACAAAUCUCUCUUUCAAGCUUCCGAUCGGUGGCAUGUUGUUGUGUGGUCUAUCUGGACCUCCCAUAAUGAUAUUUUCUAUGCCAGUGGGUCUUCAAUAAUUGAUCGAUAUUCUUGUGUAUAGGGUGAAACUUUCCUCCUUGAAAUCGUUUCUAGGUAAAAAAAAAAAACAUGGCCCCCGCUCUUUCUAUGAGUGGGAGGUGCAACCUCUCUUGUGCUGGUCCAAUAAAGCGAUGUGAGGAUGCGGUGCCUAGAUGCUUCUAAUCUUGAGGUGCAAAGUCUUUGUUAUUAGCUUUUCCCCUUCCCUUUUUUGGUGGCUGCUUUGAGCGGUUUUGGUGGUUUGUUGCUUUCCAGAUUUUUUUUUGUGUUUCUUUUGUAAAUCUUUUUUAGUUUUUGAGUAUUUUUGGUACUCCUGCUCUGUAUUUUCACCGUCUUAAUUAUCCGUUAUAUAUAAUUAUUUAUUUUCCAUUAAAAAAAACAUCUUUCAAAAAAUAUGCAUGAAACAAAUUGAGACUCCACUAGUGGUGACACUACAUAGUGUGUAAAAAUUUAAAAUUAUUUUACUGCAACAGUCGCAACAUCCGCCGCAGCAGCCACAAUGAUCGCAAUCACAAUGAUCGCAAUUGCAAUGACUACCGCAAUCACACUUUAAAACGCUGAUAUCAAGGAUCUACAUCAUCUUUAUAUUUAAACAACUAUAUAUCAUUCACAAUAAAAUGAAGCUGGUAGCAACACUUUCUUCUAAAGCUAAAAGUAAAGUUUAAGGAUGGAAAAGAUAUGAGAAAAGAAAUUAUGAUGAGCAAAGAAAACUAAUUGGUUAAAAACAAUAGAGAUUAGUUUAUAUCUUAACUGUUAAGCGCAGUAACAAUUUUUUAGAGUGCAGUAAAGAGUUUUAUUAUGAUCAGGGCACGGUAUACGUUGAAAAUUGUGAGCUUUUUUCUUUCCUGUAAUGUAAAUAAGAAUAAAGAAAUAUUUCUAAAAACAGGUGAAAGUUUGUGUAUAUGAUAAAAAAAAAAACAAAAAUUGAAGUAUGAUCUUACCAUAAACAUUGACUACAACAAGAAAUAGAAAUAGAGAAAUAAAAAGGUGGAUGUACUUAUAAAUAAACUUGAGAGUUUCAGCCAUAUUAUUCACUUUUACAUGUAUUAAAUUGAAAUUAUUUUGAUCAAUUUAUAGUAAAA